UUGUUGCGUUUGUAAAAAACUAUAGUCAGACAAAAGGAAAAGGUUGGAUAAAGUGUCUCUGGCAGGCGCCUUGCGGCCUGACCGACGAACCAGCUCGGAGCCGUCCGCCGGAAACCUGCCAAAGCAACAGGGUAUGUUCACAGGUGUGUAGAAGAGAGAGGGCCGAGGCCCAGACUUCGUUAAUGAUCCUUCCGCAGGUUCACCUACGGAAA
rnacentral:misc_RNA from 1 species